UACAGAGGUCUCAGGCGUUGUUCGGAUUCAUUGGGCGUAAAGGGUGUGUAGGUGGCGCCGUAAGUCGGGUGUGAAAUUUCGGAGCUUAACUCCGAAACUGCAUUCGAUACUGCGGUGCUUGAGGACUGGAGAGGAGACUGGAAUUCAUGGUGUAGCAGUGAAAUGCGUAGAGAUCAUGAGGAAGACCAGUGGCGAAGGCGGGUCUCUGGACAGUUCCUGACGCUGAGGCACGAAGGUCAGGGGAGCAAACGGG
rnacentral:rRNA from 1 species